UACAGAGGUGGCAAGCGUUGUUCGGAAUUACUGGGCGUAAAGGGCGCGUAGGCGGCUUGGUCAGUCCCGUGUGAAAUCCCUCGGCUCAACUGAGGAACUGCACGGGAAACUGCCUGGCUUGAGUUCGGGAGAGGGAAGCGGAAUUCCGGGUGUAGCGGUGAAAUGCGUAGAUAUCCGGAGGAACACCGGUGGCGAAGGCGGCUUCCUGGACCGACACUGACGCUGAGGCGCGAAAGCUAGGGGAGCAAACGGG
rnacentral:rRNA from 2 species